ACUCCAUAGCUAUAAUCACUAUUAGCGAUAAUAUAGCCUAUUUCCCCAACUAUUCCCAACAACAACAAUCUCAAACAAACCACAAAGAAUAGAGCAACACCAUAACGAAGCCAGCCCCUACACUGAGAUAUUCAAAACCUUCAAUCAAAAUCAAUUAAGUUUGAGAUAUUCAAUUUAGAGAAAAAGAGUCAAAGACUUAGCUUCCCAUUAUUCUUUUUCCCGCAACGUGGAAGUAACAGCAAACAACGGUCGCACAAUUUAGUUCUCAAACCCAUUCUCACGGCUGAAUAAUAUCCUCUCAUCUCGUGUGUAUACCACUCUUACCUCUCAUCUCGUGUGGAUUGUGGUCGGCAACCUUGCCUUGAUACAAUGAUGUUCCCCCCAAAACGCAGUAGAUUUGUAGAGGAUCAAAACUGGUCAUUGGAAUUUCCAAUUCAAGGAAAUCUUUAAUAGUUUCAGCGAAAUUUGAAAUAGCGAACAAGUAGUUCCCCAUAUUUCUUGAAAAAGUCUUCACUAGAUUUGUAUAUAGUUAGUGAUCGAGCAAUGCCCAAGUUAAUACACACAGUCCACAUAUAUCCAAAGGGAGCACAACUUAACUCAAAUUCGCAACAACCUUCAAACAUGGGUAUACAAAAUCAAUAAGCAAAUUUCUAGAAAUUUAAAGGAUAGAGUUGAAUAGACAUAGCAAACCAUAUAUUGAGUAUACAUGAUUACUAGUUCUUUAAUGAUUCAUACUUAAUGUAUCCUACUGGACUUAAAACCAAAGACCAUGAAAACUCUCAUCAUAUAGCUCAUAAAGCUAAUACAAAGCAAUUUAGAAUUAUCGAUUAGUGCUUAGUAUCAUCGCUGCAUAACACCAUAGCUAUUUCUUUAUCGCAAGUAGCAAACCCCACGUCUCAUAAACAGCUAAGAUAAUUACAGCCCCACGGGGGUUAUCUAGCACGUGACCCUCAUUACAUUUGUGCAAUAAAAGAAGGAGUGGAUGUGAGGACUUAGCUUUUGUUGGAGGAUGAUCGAUUGUCUUGUUCAGUUGAGACCGAUGGAACGAUGAUAGCGAGCUCUUGUUGUCUUAUUGGAAAUCUGAGUAUAGCAUCAACAGAGGCAACGGGUCCUCACCGGAGAAAUGCUACAGCAACAAGAGGUUGAGAAAGAGCCAAUAGAGCUAAGGCUCAGUCUGCUCUCUUUCUUAGGAGACCUGGUCAGGUCUCCUAAGAAAUGUAAAACAACAAUCGAUCAACCGUGGCUGUGGAAAUAACAUCGACCAUAGUUUCAACCAUAGUUUCAAUUAAUUCGUAAUCUUCCCAAUCAAGUGCUCUAUAAAUGUAAAACAACAAUCAAUGAUUCUUGAGCAAAAUAAAGAAAUAACAUCGAUCAGAAAAUGGAAUUGGUGCCUCUAGAUUUAUACGAGAGAGAAAGUAAUCAGCAGCAGAAAUAAAACUUGAAAGAGAGAAAGAGAGAAGGAGCCAUGGUUGUGGGAGCUUAUCCCUGGAGCUGCGCCAGAAUUCAGUACUGCGUCGAAGUUUCUCCACGGAGUUUUUCCACAACCGGCGCGGCGGAGGCUGCCGGGGUGGAGGAAGGAGACGGUCAUAUUCAACACCCGCACUAAACUUGGCCUUAAUAAAGAUUCUUUGUCAUAGGGAGAGACCCGAUCCGAUUUACCCACAGUGUGCAAGUGUCGUGAUUCGAUGGAUUGACUUUUGGAGAAGUUUUUGGGGACAAGCCAUCGGUGGAGAGCAGGGGGGCAAAACGCAGGUGGACCACACGGUGACUCAGAAAAACUUCAAAUAUAUCGGCUUCGAAGGGUUCCAGAAAAGAAGGAUAAUUGGGGAUGAAUUUUUGGGGAUUAUUCUCUGGAUUCAGAUUUUCCAAAGUUUUUCCAGAUUGGUGGAUGAUUCCCGUUGAUUUGGAGAGAAUGGCCGAUGGUGAUGCGGUGAUGGGGUAGUACUCCAGCACGAUGGCGGCAGAAAGCUUUUAGAUCGAGAUCUCGACGACUGAUUUAUUUUUUUGAGCUGAGAUUAUCAGAAUUUCGGUGCUCUCGGGUACUGUGUAAUUGUCGGUUCCCUUCCGAUGAACAGUAGGCGGAGAAGAACAAACUCACGUCUUA
rnacentral:lncRNA from 1 species